GUGUGUGUGUGUGUGUGUGUGUGUGUGUGAGAGAGAGAGAGAGCGUAACUGUAAUUCCCGGCGUGUCUGCAACAAAGAGAUACGUGUCCCGAGUAGAGGCCAGCAACACUCACACCUACGCCUAUGCACACACUACAACAGUGCGCACGCACAUGCAAACACAUAUGCACGUGCGUGAACACCCACUAUUCAAGUCUAGCCUACUGUAUUGGCGUGGACACAAGCGUUUCCGAAAGAAGCAGAUAGCUUCGUGUGUGGCUCAGACGCAUGCUCCUCUCCACACACAGAGAGUGUUACCUCAACGGGAAUAAGGCAACGCUUCAGAAAGGAAAACUUUCGAAAUGGUAAAGGGGAGAUAAAAGGAAAGCCCCUUUUCUCAAAAGGUGCAGACUCGACUCCCUCCUGUAGCUGUCGCCAGUGGAUUAACUCACAGUAAGGGUGUCCCUCCCUCCUUGUGUAACGUAAAUAAAAUAAAGAGAAGACAAGGUGAUAUGGUGCAAACAAAGGCACAGCGGAUGCUAUGCACCGACGCGAGGCCCAGGGCCUUCAACUCUCUGGCUGAUUGGGAGCCUUUAAGGAGGACCACUGGGGAGUCCUGACAACUGGUGGACUUUGUCACAGGCAGGGAGACCCUCUGGGAUGAUGGACACCAGGAAAGCUGCAGGAUUCCCUCACAGGACCUUCUGAUCCCGAGAAGGAAACCAUUGUGCCAGGAGGGCAGAAGCAGCACCCCAGUGACAGCAGAGGCAGACGGUGAAGGACCCUGGAAGAGCUGCUCAUUGCCAUGGACAAGAGCUGCUGUGGCCACUGAAUCUCUCUGUGAACCAUCACCACAUCUUUCUCCUCCUCUGGCUGCUGCUGAGAUGGAGGACCCAAACCCUCUGAGUGACAGGGAGAAGCCUGCAGGACUCCCAGCACUACACCUUCCACCAGCACUUGAAACCCUUUGCAGGGGGAUCCCCUGAGCAUUCAGGAGGGGAACGAUGAGUCUGCAGGAGUCCCUGAAACCCACCAACUGCCAACCCCUUCAAAUGCCAGACAAGAGGCAGUUGUCCCCAAGAACAAUUUUCCACAGUUGCUCCUCCCUUGUCAUGGAGAGUGCGCAGGCAAGGAGAUGGGUGCAGAGACAUUAAUAUUUGGCUGUUGUUUACAGACUCAGUCCUGUUAUGUUUUAUUGGUUUACAUUUCCUUUUAAAAAUAUUUCAAUUACAUGCUCCAUAUAGUAUUUUAAAUAAAUGUUACACUUUCCUU